rnacentral:lncRNA from 1 species
CACGGCCCCCUGCAGCCCGUUCAUGGUCCAGCUGCUCCCCAUGGUGCUGAGUGAAGCUGGAAGAUGCAUGAUAGUGGGGGCCUUGGGCAAGGAAAGGAACAAGGAGAUAAAAGAGCAUGGGCUGAGAAGAGUCCAGCAGCUUCCGGAGGGUGACUCACCACCGAGAGCAUCUGAUGGAAAGGCUUUUUAUCUGGAUGCCUGGCACCAGGCGAAGCGUUCCUCCGCGGUGGGCUCGGACCCGGAGAACAGCGCUUCUGAGCCGUUCCUUUACCAGCAGAGACUUCCAUGGAAGGUCCCACCUCACUCCGUGGCCCUUCCCUCCCUUGCGUGUGGGCUCAGCCUUGGGACACAGCUAUAGCACAGUGGUUAGAGCACAGGCUCUGAAGUCAGGCUGCCUGGGUUCAGAUCUUUCUUCUGCCACUCAGUCACUACGAGAUCUUAGGGAAGUUUGUUAACGUCUGUGCACGUCAGCGAUCCAUCUGUCAAAGGGGGAUGAUAAUUCCCUCCCCGUCAUGGCGAGGAUGGAGUGAGGCAGUACAUGCUUAGAAUAGUUCCUGGCACAGAGGAAUUUCUCGCUCUCCGUCUGCUUCCAGCCUCCCAUUUCCAGCUGCCCUCAGGAAAUUGCCACUGGAUGUCCCCAAGGCACCUCCAACGCCACGAGCCUGAAACAAAGCACAUCCUCUCCUCUGUGCCGAGACCCCCUUCCUGCUGAAGGCGCCCUUAUCCUCCCAGCCCGUGGAGCUCCAGGUCAGAAGCAGCUUUGAUGGCACCUCUUCCUUCCUUCCUGAUGUGCCAGGAGUCGCCAAGCCCACAAAGCUUCCUUCCCAGUCUCGCUGGGGUUCGUCUCCCGCAGCACCUUGGCCUGAGUUCCAGCCCUCCUCCCCUCUCCUCAGGACUCAGGCCCCUUUCCAGUGCGCCCGGCACUGGCUGCCAGAGACAUCUGGCCACUGCAGGACUCUUACCACAUACCCGCCCAACAAGCUGCGGUGAUUCUCUUCGCCUACUGCUGCAAGUCCAGGGGCCCCGUAAAGCAGCCCCUCUCUGACUUCCUUUCCUGUCAGAUCUGUCUUCUCACCCAUCAUUCAGUUUCCUGUGCUCCCUCUGGCUAGAAUGCCCUCCCCCUUCGUGUAUCCAGCCGUAACUACCCAUGAGUCAAGACCUGGAAAGGUAAAUUCCAUUGUAUGCUGUUUUCCCACUCUGCUUAAUAAAUAUAACAGCCCGGAGCUCUCUAAUGAGAACUCUGAGAUUAUUUGCAUGGUCUAUGUGAAAGAGAGCCAUGAUUGAUUGGUGAUGUCUCCCAUGUCAUGGGGUUGAUGUCGUCAUGGGUGUAGGAGGGAGAAAUAGUUGACUAGUGAUGUCUGCCAUGGGUAAAGGAGGGAGCCAUGGGUAAAGGAGGGAGACACAGAAGUAAGUUGCUUUGUCUUGAG